rnacentral:rRNA from 1 species
GCGGUGGAGCAUGUGGUUUAAUUCGAAGCAACGCGAAGAACCUUACCAGGUCUUGACAUCCCGAUGCUAUUUCUAGAGAUAGAAGUUACUUCGGUACAUCGGUGACAGGUGGUGCAUGGUUGUCGUCAGCUCGUGUCGUGAGAUGUUGGGUUAAGUCCCGCAACGAGCGCAACCCCUAUUGUUAGUUGCCAUCAUUCAGUUGGGCACUCUAGCGAGACUGCCGGUAAUAAACCGGAGGAAGUGGGAUGACGUCAAAUCAUCAUGCCCCUUAUGACCUGGGCUACACACGUGCUACAAUGGUUGGUACAACGAGUUGCGAGUCGGUGACGGCGAGCUAAUCUCUUAAAGCCAAUCUCAGUUCGGAUUGUAGGCUGCAACUCGCCUACAUGAAGUCGGAAUCGCUAGUAAUCGCGGAUCAGCACGCCGCGGUCGAAUACGUUCCCGGGCCUU